CCUUAGUUCAGGUCCAAACCGUUUGUCUUAUUACAAAUUUUUUUUAUUAGUAUUUUUAAUGUUAUUUGAUGAUAAAACAUGAAUAAUACCUUGUGAGUGUAUUUUUUUAAAAAAAAAUUCUUAAAAUUUUCAAAUAAGAAAUGACGGUCAAACGUUAGACAUGGAUCUACGGCUGCACUUAUU
rnacentral:pre_miRNA from 1 species